rnacentral:rRNA from 1 species
GACAGAGGUCCCGAGCGUUAGGCGGAAUCACUGGGCUUAAAGCGUGUGUAGGCGGAUUUGUAAGUACCUUGUGAAAUCCCACGGCUCAACCGUGGAACUGCUUGGUAUACUGCUUAUCUUGGGCCAUCUAGGGGCUACCGGAACAAGUGGUGGAGCGGUGAAAUGCGUAGAUAUCAGGAGGAACACCGGUGGCGAAGGCGGAUCUCUGGGCCAUUACUGACGCUGAGGAGCGAAAGCGUGGGGAGCGAACAGG